GAUGAACGCUGGCGGCGUGCCUAAUACAUGCAAGUCGAGCGAACGGACGAGAAGCUUGCUUCUCUGCUGUUAGCGGCGGACGGGCGAGUGACACGUGGAUAACCUACCUAUAAGACUGGGAUAACUUCGGGAAACCGUAGCUAAUACCGGCUAAUAUUUUGAACCGCAUGGUUCAAAAGUGAAAGACGGUCUUGCUGUCACUUAUAGAUGGAUCCGCGCUGCAUUAGCUAGUUGGUAAGGUAACGGCUUACCAAGGCAACGAUGCAUAGCCGACCUGAGAGGUGGAUCGGCCACACUGGAAUUGAGACACGUGCCAGACUCCUACGGAGGGCAGCAGGAGGAAUACUGCCGCAAGGGGCGAAAGCCGGACGAGGCAACGCCGCGUGAGUGAGGAAGGUCUUCGGAUCGUAAAACUCUGUUAUUGGGGAAGAACAUAUGUGUAAGUAACUGUGCACAUCUUGAGGGUACCUAAUCAGAAGGCCACGGCUAACUACUU
rnacentral:rRNA from 1 species